CUACGGUGGCAGCAGUGGGGAAUAUUGGACAAUGGGGGAAACACUGAUCCAGCAAUGCCGCGUGUGUGAAGAAGGCCUGCGGGUUGUAAAGCACUUUCGGUUGGGAGGACUGCUUCUAGCACUAAUAUUGUUGGAAGUUGACGUUACCUUCAGAAGAAGCACCGGCUAACUCCGUGCCAGCAGCCGCGGUAAUACGGGAGGGUGCAAGCGUUAAUCGGAAUUACUGGGCGUAAAGCGCGCGUAGGCGGCUAGAUCAGUCGGGUGUGAAAGCCCCGGGCUUAACCUGGGAACUGCAUCCGAUACUGUCUAGCUUGAGUACAGGAGAGGAGAGUGGAAUUCCACAUGUAGCGGUGAAAUGCGUAGAUAUGUGGAGGAACACCAAUGGCGAAGGCAGCUCUCUGGCCUGAUACUGACGCUGAGGUGCGAAAGCGUGGGGAGCAAACAGGAUUAGAUACCCCCGUAGUC
rnacentral:rRNA from 1 species